rnacentral:rRNA from 1 species
AGAGUUUGAUCAUGGCUCAGAAUGAACGCUGGCGGCGUGCUUAACACAUGCAAGUCGCACGAGAACUCUUCUGCUUGCAGAAGAUAGUAAAGUGGCGCACGGGUGAGUAACGCGUGGGUAAUCUACCUACGAAUCUGGGAUAACUCCGCGAAAGCGGUGCUAAUACCGGAUGAUAUCCUUAAGUCUACGGAAAUAAGGAUCAAAGGUGGCCUCUACAUGUAAGCUACUGUUCGUAGAUGAGCCCGCGUACCAUUAGCUAGUUGGCAGGGUAACGGCCUACCAAGGCAACGAUGGUUAGCUGGUCUGAGAGGAUGAUCAGCCACACUGGAACUGACACACGGUCCAGACUCCUACGGGAGGCAGCAGUGAGGAAUUUUGCGCAAUGGGGGAAACCCUGACGCAGCAACGCUGCGUGAGUGAUGAAGGCCUUCGGGUCGUAAAGCUCUGUCAAGUGGGAAGAACUUGGAAAAUGUUAACACCAUUUUUCACUGACGGUACCACUGAAGGAAGCACCGGCUAACUCCGUGCCAGCAGCCGCGGUAAUACGGAGGGUGCAAGCGUUAUUCGGAAUUAUUGGGCGUAAAGGGCGCGUAGGCGGUUUUUUAAGUCAGAUGUGAAAGCCCGGGGCUUAACCCCGGAAGUGCAUUUGAAACUAAAAAACUUGAGUAUGGGAGAGGGAAGUGGAAUUCCUGGUGUAGAGGUGAAAUUCGUAGAUAUCAGGAGGAACACCGGUGGCGAAGGCGACUUCCUGGACCAAUACUGACGCUGAGGCGCGAAGGCGUGGGGAGCAAACAGGAUUAGAUACCCUGCUAGUCCACGCAGUAAACGAUGAACACUAGGUGUAGCGGGUAUUGACCCCUGCUGUGCCGAAGCUAACGCAUUAAGUGUUCCGCCUGGGGAGUACGACCGCAAGGGUUAAAACUCAAAUGAAUUGACGG